AAGUCGUAACAAGGUUUCCGUAGGUGAACCUGCGGAAGGAUCAUUACCGAGUGAGGGCCCUUUGGGUCCAACCUCCCACCCGUGUUUAUUUACCUCGUUGCUUCGGCGGGCCCGCCUUAACUGGCCGCCGGGGGGCUCACGCCCCCGGGCCCGCGCCCGCCGAAGACACCCCCGAACUCUGCCUGAAGAUUGUCGUCUGAGUGAAAAUAUAAAUUAUUUAAAACUUUCAACAACGGAUCUCUUGGUUCCGGCAUCGAUGAAGAACGCAGCGAAAUGCGAUACGUAAUGUGAAUUGCAAAUUCAGUGAAUCAUCGAGUCUUUGAACGCACAUUGCGCCCCCUGGUAUUCCGGGGGGCAUGCCUGUCCGAGCGUCAUUGCUGCCCUCAAGCCCGGCUUGUGUGUUGGGCCCCGUCCUCCGAUUCCGGGGGACGGGCCCGAAAGGCAGCGGCGGCACCGCGUCCGGUCCUCGAGCGUAUGGGGCUUUGUCACCCGCUCUGUAGGCCCGGCCGGCGCUUGCCGAUCAACCCAAAUUUUUAUCCAGGUUGACCUCGGAUCAGGUAGGGAUACCCGCUGAACUUAA
rnacentral:rRNA from 2 species